GUUAGUCCAUAGAGACUAAAAGUGCCAAUCAUUCCUCGGCCCUGUGAACGUCUCUUUUUGACUCCUCUCCAAGGCACAGGAUCUUUACCUUGGGAUUGCUCUGUAAGCUUGGAUUGCUUCUCCCAUCCCCAGGACCAGCUUCACCAGCGGAAAUGCAACAGAGGGGAUGCAGGUCCUGAGCACUGCCAAAAAGUGAACCUUCCUAUGCCUUUGGACCAAAUUGGACUACAACUAUAAUAUAUAUCUUGUGAAUGCCGACAUUACCUUGAUUUGAUAAGUUGGAUCUGCCGUUGACAUCGUAUCUGAAGCAACGAUGCAGUGACCCUGAGAUUAGGGGCAAGGGUGUAGAAUUGUGCUGAGGCACCAGCAUACAAUGGACUUUUCAAAAGACCCCCAGCAUUGCCAAUGGGGUGCGUAAGCAUACGGCCUUUUUGAUGGAGAACAACGUUCGAAGAGAGUCUUCUGAGAUUUGUGAUGAACGACCUGAUACUACUCAAAGAACUGGCAGCUCUCAGUGUUUGCUUUCAAGCUUCCCCCAGUUGACUGCGUGGGUCAAUGGAAUGCAGAAGUCGUCACAGUUACAGCCUGCAUCGUCAGAAAGUCAUCAUCAAGCCAAAGCCUGGACCACAGGACGAUGCUGGCCAACUUCAAAUCUUGUCGGUCCAUCCGGCUCGAAUCCUCGUGCAGACCACCUGUCACAGGCGCCAGGUCCCUCCACCAAAGGAUACCUUUCCAACGAACAUCAUACCUUAUUUUCAGGCUCACAGCCUUCACAACCUCUGCCUGGGCCUCCUUCCUCCGGCUUAGGAAUAUCAAAAGAGCUUUCCUUGUCUGCCGUCUCUGGGCGGAGAUCCUGGCAGCACGACAGGCCAUUGCCUUCACCCACAGUCCAGCACGUUCUUCCAGCAGACAAUUGCUUACCAACAAAAUGCAAAGCUGAUGAUAUCUCCACAUGCUCCCAAUUCCAAGUUUUUCCAGGGGCUGCAGUUCACCGGCAAAAGCCAUCGGUCGACGAUAAUACGCAGCUUCCAUCUUCUCGUCUUGGAAAGCCCCAGCCGACACAACUAUUCUCACCGGCAAGUGACUCUGAUCCAAGAGUCGGUUCUCACACUGUUCCCCCUGUACACCGCAUUGUGCUCUCACCACAAAUGGACAAACAAACCACAGAAUCCUCACAACUCAGGAAUCUGUUAGCAGAACGCUGGCAGGCUGCCCUGCAGGCCAAACAUCCUGCGCGAUCAUCUGGGCACCCACCUACGUCAAAGCCUCC
rnacentral:lncRNA from 1 species